GAGGGCAUAGCUCAGUGGUAGAGCACAUGCUUAGCAUGCACAAGGUCCUGGAUUCAAUACCCAGUACCUCCA
rnacentral:tRNA from 1 species